rnacentral:rRNA from 1 species
GACGAACGCUGGCGGCGUGCUUAACACAUGCAAGUCGAACGAAGAGCGAUGGAAGCUUGCUUCUAUCAAUCUUAGUGGCGAACGGGUGAGUAACGCGUAAUCAACCUGCCCUUCAGAGGGGGACAACAGUUGGAAACGACUGCUAAUACCGCAUACGAUCUAAUCUCGGCAUCGAGGAUAGAUGAAAGGUGGCCUCUACAUGUAAGCUAUCACUGAAGGAGGGGAUUGCGUCUGAUUAGCUAGUUGGAGGGGUAACGGCCCACCAAGGCGAUGAUCAGUAGCCGGUCUGAGAGGAUGGACGGCCACAUUGGGACUGAGACACGGCCCAGACUCCUACGGGAGGCAGCAGUGGGGAAUCUUCCGCAAUGGACGAAAGUCUGACGGAGCAACGCCGCGUGAGUGAUGGCGGCCUUCGGGUUGUAAAGCUCUGUUAAUCGGGACGAAAGGCCUUCUUGCGAAUAGUGAGAAGGAUUGACGGUACCGGAAUAGAAAGCCACGGCUAACUACGUG